AAUUGACCUCGGAUCAGGUAGGGAUACCCGCUGAACUUAAGCAUAUCAAUAAGCGGAGGAAAAGAAACCAACAGGGAUUGCCUCAGUAACGGCGAGUGAAGCGGCAACAGCUCAAAUUUGAAAUCUGGCUCCUUCGGGGUCCGAGUUGUAAUUUGUAGAGGAUGUUUCGGGUGCGGCGCCGGUCGAAGUCCCUUGGAACAGGGUGUCACAGAGGGUGAGAAUCCCGUACGUGGCUGGCGUUCAAGUCCAUGUGAAGCUCCUUCGACGAGUCGAGUUGUUUGGGAAUGCAGCUCAAAAUGGGUGGUAAAUUUCAUCUAAAGCUAAAUACCGGCCAGAGACCGAUAGCGCACAAGUAGAGUGAUCGAAAGAUGAAAAGCACUUUGGAAAGAGAGUUAAAAAGUACGUGAAAUUGUUGAAAGGGAAGCGCUUGCGACCAGACCUGCCCGUGGGUGUUCAGCGGUGGUUCUCCACCGUGCACUCGCCCGCGAUCAGGCCAGCAUCAGUUCUGGCGACCGGAUAAAGGCCCUUGGAAUGUAGCUCCUCUCGGGGAGUGUUAUAGCCUCGGGUGUCAUACGGCCAGCCGGGACUGAGGACCGCGCUUCGGCAAGGAUGCUGGCGUAAUGGUUGUAAGCGACCCGUCUUGAAACACGGACCAAGGAGUCUAACAUCUAUGCGAGUGUUUGGGUGUCAAACCCAUGCGCGCAAUGAAAGUGAACGAUGGUCAGAGCCCUUCCGGGGUGCAUGAUCGACCGAUCUUGAAGUUUACGGAUGGAUUUGAGUAUGAGCAUAGCUGUUGGGACCCGAAAGAUGGUGAACUAUGCCUGAAUAGGGUGAAGCCAGAGGAAACUCUGGUGGAGGCUCGCAGCGGUUCUGACGUGCAAAUCGAUCGUCAAAUUUGGGUAUAGGGGCGAAAGACUAAUCGAACCAUCUAGUAGCUGGUUCCUGCCGAAGUUUCCCUCAGGAUAGCAGUAACGUAUUCAGUUU
rnacentral:rRNA from 1 species